UACGGGGGGGGCAAGCGUUGUUCGGAAUUACUGGGCGUAAAGGGCUCGUAGGCGGCCAACUAAGUCAGACGUGAAAUCCCUCGGCUUAACCGGGGAACUGCAUCUGAUACUGGAUGGCUUGAGAUUGGGAGAGGGAUGCGGAAUUCCAGGUGUAGCGGUGAAAUGCGUAGAUAUCUGGAGGAACACCCGUGGCGAAAGCGGCUCUCUGGAACGGUACUGACGCUGAGACGCGAAAGCGUGGGGAGCGAACAGG
rnacentral:rRNA from 1 species